rnacentral:lncRNA from 1 species
GUGAUACCAUUGCUGUUUUAGCUACGAGUGCAGAGCACAGCACUGUAUGGGCUGCUGCAGGGAAAGUUAACAUCCCAGCCUGACCCAGUACAUGGUGCCUGAUGUAAUCCUCUGUGAUGUUUGCGAUUCUGGCUCAGCACAUGGGCACUGGAUGAGGCAGAGCAUACUGCAGGUGAUAAAACAAUGGAUCAUUCAUGCAGAGAGAAAAAUAAAGACAAGGAGACUAUUGAUAAAAGAAGUAACUGUGAGCAUCUUUAGUCCUGAUUUCACAGUUGUUCUGCACCAGAAGGGGUACAGGAUUCUUUCUGGAUCUCAGUAAGAAAGGCACAGCAACAAAUGGAGUAAAAAAACUGCAAUAACAACAACAAUGACAAUAAUAAUUAUUAUUAUUAUAUUAUAUUAUUAUGCAAGAGAAAGAGGAAGAAAAAUACAGAGACUGAGUAAAUAAAACAUCCCUUCAGAAGCUGGGUACCCUGCUC